AACGAACGCUGGCGGCAGGCUUAACACUUGCAAGUCGAACGGUUGUAGCGAUACAGCAGUGGCAGACGGGUGAGUAACACGUGGGAACCUUCCUCGGGGUACGGAACAACUCAGGGAAACUUGAGCUAAUACCGUAUACGUCCGUGAGGAGAAAGAUUUAUCGCCCUGAGACGGGCCCGCGUCGGAUUAGCUGGUUGGUGGGGUAACGGCCUACCAAGGCGACGAUCCGUAGCUGAUCUUAGAGGAUGAUCAGCCACACUGGGACUGAGACACGGCCCAGACUCCUACGGGAGGCAGCAGUGGGGAAUCUUGGACAAUGGGGGCAACCCUGAUCCAGCCAUGCCGCGUGAGUGAAGAAGGUCUUCGGAUUGUAAAGCUCUUUUGCCAGGGACGAUAAUGACGGUACCUGGAGAAUAAGCCCCGGCAAACUUCGUGCCAGCAGCCGCCGUAAAAC
rnacentral:rRNA from 1 species